GACGAACGCUGGCGGCGUGCCUAACACAUGCAAGUCGAACGAGAAAGGGGCUUCGGCUCCGAGUAAAGUGGCGAACGGGUGAGUAACACGUGGGUGACCUGCCCUUAGCUCUGGGAUAAGCCUGGGAAACUGGGUCUAAUACCGGAUAUGACUCCAUGACGCAUGUUGUGGGGUGGAAAGCCUUGUGCGGCUAGGGAUGGGCCCGCGGCCUAUCAGCUUGUUGGUGGGGUGAUGGCCACCAAGGCGACGACGGGUAGCCGGCC
rnacentral:rRNA from 1 species